rnacentral:rRNA from 1 species
CCUACGGGAGGCAGCAGUGGGGGAUAUUGCACAAUGGGGGAAACCCUGAUGCAGCGACGCCGCGUGAGUGAAGAAGUAUUUCGGUAUGUAAAGCUCUAUCAGCAGGGAAGAAAAUGACAGUACCUGACCAAGAAGCCCCGGCUAACUACGUGCCAGCAGCCGCGGGAAUACGUAGGGGGCAAGCGUUAUCCGGAUUUACUGGGUGUAAAGGGAGCGUAGACGGUUAUGUAAGUAUGGAGUGAAAGCCCGGGGCUCAACCCCGGGACUGCUUUGGAAACUGUGUAACUGGAGUACAGGAGGGGCAGGCGGAAUUCCUGGUGUAGCGGUGAAAUGCGUAGAGAUCAGGAGGAACACCGGAGGCGAAGGCGGCCUGCUGGAAUUAAACUGACGUUGAGGUUCGAAGGCGUGGGGAGCAAACAGGAUUAGAUACCCCAGUAGUC